AAAGCAAUCUCUUGCAUCAUUAUUAAAUUAUUGCCUCUGUCUUUGCCAGAAUUAUAUUUUGUCUUAAAAGUGAUGGUCGAAGCACAAAUACUGCUCAUGGAUUGGAAUUCAGAGGUAAAGUGUUUUGUUAAAUGGGUGGUAUGUACUUUAAGGCACUCAAGCCCUUCUUCAGAAUUCCAAGUACAAAAGCUUUCCCAGUUUUUCCAACGAUAUCAGUUUGAUAACAUCUACCGGUGAACCACGUUCUGCUCUGCUAGAAUUGGCAUAGGUUUAUCUGGAGAAAGAGUGAGCCUUGGUUUCCAGAAGUGCUGUCAGCUGACACACUGCUCUGGGUCUGUUCUCUGUUCUGGGGAAAAUAAUUAAGAAAACCUUGGUUUGCUCUUUAUUUUCAGUGGGAAAAGAAUGUCAGCUGCUAAUAUCUAUGUUUGCUGAAGUAAGACUUAAGGUAACCUCUAAUUCACGUAUAUGAUCAUUAAUAACAGUAUAAAAACAGUAAUAAUUGUUUGUGGUAACUAUGAUUGCAGCUGUCUGCAUCUACUGGGUAAAUAAUGCACAACUGCGUGAUAAAAUUAGGUAACUGUACUUGCACUGGGUUCAUAUGCUGUCACGUACAAAAAGGUAGGUAGAUGUUUGUUGCUUUCUGCAAAAGCAAAAUUGCUUCUUGCACAGUGAUAUAUAGUUAUGUUUGGUGCUUGUCUGUUCCCAAAGGUGAUGGUGCAGCUCUACACGUGUUCUGUCUCCUGUAGGAGCUAAAAGGUUGUUUUACUGCUCACUACUCUGUCUGCCUUUACAGUUCUCCAAAACACUGUCCACCUUUCUGCUAUUAAAAAAUCUGCAUUUGAUGCAUUCAGCCUCUCUAAAUUCACUUUUCUAUUAGUUUCUUAUAUAGCAUUUUGGUAUUAACAUUGUGGGUUACUCCUAAAAAAAGGCCUUCUACUUAUUUCCACGGAGGGUAGAAAAGAUACAAAGAGCACAAGAGCGCUUUGAUAGAGCAACUUCUCAGAUAUGAAGUACUGUUUUUCAGUGUAGUCACAAUCAUCAGCUGAUUUGUGCAGCUGUCCAGAGGGUGGCUUGUCUGUCACCACUGCUGGUCUCCAUAAGGGUUCAGCAAGGAUUGUUAGAUAUCAGUGGGUGCAAGCUUCAAGACAUGCAGUUUUCAACUCCACACUUUGCUCCAUAUGCUCUUCCAUGUCAGGUGCUGUUUUUCAGACUGCUCCUCUGCUGCCAUCUGACACAUGGCAACAAUGUGGGAUGGAAUGGAAUAUUGGUGGGAAGCUUCAACCUCUGUUGCCAUACUGCCAGCAUUCAUUGGUUGUGAGCCAUUAUAAUAAAAUGGCAGGCAUUACUUUCAGUGCAGCCCUCAUACACCUCUGCUGGACAAUCCACAUUAUAGGACAGAUCUCUGCAGAACUGUAUUGGCAUCUUUCCUCCACUGCAGGAGUUAACCAUUAACUCACCCCUACCCACUCAGUCCCUUUCAUAUUUAUUAAUAAUUGAUCAGGCUUUACUAAUUAAGUCGUUCUUUCAAGCCUAAAGCUUCUUUUAAAAGUGCCUGAGACAUAAUUAGAAGCCCUUUGGAAAUCUGUGUCUUUAAUCAUCUGUGCUUUGCAAUCCACCCAUUGUGAUACUGGAGCUCCUUUUUUCUUCAGCUGAGAUUGCUUCCAUCCAAGAUGUUGGGAGACUACCACUGAGUAGGCAUUUCAGCAGCCACUCUGACUGAAACAUAUGCAAGUCUUCUUCAUCAUUAUCAAUAUAAACUUCCUCCAUGCUGAUUAUACUCUUGUUCAGUUUAAAUGGAAAACAAAAAGCCUGAACUCUGACCUCACCAAAUGUAUUACAAGACAACCUCAUACACUACCUUUUUUGAUAUUAAAAAACGUUAACAACAACCACAUUCUGCUGUGCUGGUCCCACCACAGCAAUUACACUUUCAUACAUGCUAUGUUGCUUGUGGUCCUUUUUUGCUGCCAAAUAACAAAGUCUUGCAAGGGAAGGGGCACAGGACAGGUUGUAUCUACAAGGAGGAAGCUGCUAUCUGUGUCUCUCAGCAUGCAAGCACAGCAGUAAAAUCAGUAACUCUGUAUGGCCAUCCUUACUCUUUCCCUCUUUGGAGUUAAGAACGGGCUUACGCUAGCCCAGCUACAACAAACAACUACACCAAAGCAUAGGAUAUAGGAGCUACAACUCCACCACAGCAGGGAUUGAUAUAAACUUAUUUGAAAGAAAAAAAAAUAAAAAAAAAUUGUAUGAUAAAAAGCUCCUCACACAAUCUCAGAACAAAUACAAUUCUCCUUCCCACUGUUCACUGUUUAUAGUAUCAUGAUGAGCUAUUUCUCAUUACUCAGAUUGCCUUCUAUCAUCUAUUCAGUGAUGAUUUCCACAUUUCCUUUAAGUGUGAUUAUAUUUAUUUGUAUUUCCAGAGUAAGAGGCUUGGCUUCCACUUUCAAUUUCAGAUAUUAAAGUUUAUGAGAAAACUAAAAACCAUGCAAGCUCUAA